rnacentral:rRNA from 1 species
AUGCCUCAAGAUUCGCGAGGGCUUGAUGAACCAAGCAAGAUGCGACAGAUGAUCGAUGCCAUAAGAACAGCAUUGAGGUCAUUGGGCAAUGAUGAGACGUCGAUGAGUGUUUCGGCCUACGACACAGCGUUGGUCGCCCUUGUCAAGAACCUUGACGGAGGUGAUGGACCACAAUUCCCCUCAUGCAUCGACUGGAUUGUUCGAAAUCAACUUCUAGAUGGUUCGUGGGGUGAUCCCGCAUUCUUUAUGGUCCAAGAUCGGAUGAUCAGCACCCUCGCUUGUGUGGUGGCAGUGAAGUCUUGGAACAUUGACAGCAACAACUUAUGUGACAGAGGUGUGUUAUUUAUCAAGGAAAAUAUGAGUAGGCUGGUAGAAGAGGAACAGGACUGGAUGCCAUGCGGCUUUGAGAUUAACUUCCCAGCACUCCUAGAGAAGGCCAAGGACCUGGAUUUGGACAUCCCUUACAAUCACCCUGUUUUGGAAGAGAUAUUUGCUAAGAGGGAUUUAAAGCUCUCUAAGAUACCUCUAGAUGUGCUACACACCAUACCAACCACCUUACUUUUCAGCCUAGAGGGAAUGGUAGAUUUACCAUUGGAUUGGGAAAAGCUACUCAGGUUGAGAUGUCCAGACGGCUCUUUCCAUUCCUCGCCGGCUGCCACAGCUGCUGCCCUCAGUCACACCGGCAACAAGGAAUGCCUUGCGUUCCUAGACAAGCUCGUCAAAAAGUUCAAGGGGGGAGUGCCAUGUAGCCACUCUAUGGAUACUUUCGAGCAGGUAUGGGUGGUCGAUCGGCUUAUGCGUCUGGGGAUAUCAAGGCACUUCACAACUGAAAUUCAACACUGCUUAGAGUUUAUUUACAGGCGCUGGACAUGGAAGGGACUGGCUCAUAACGCGCACUGCCCAAUCGCAGAUAUUGAUGACACAGCCAUGGGCUUCCGUAUCCUCCGUCAGCAUGGCUACGACGUCACUCCAUGUAACUAA